GGGUUACGAAUCGCCCCUUAGAGUUUGAUCAUGGNCUCAGGAUGAACGCUAGCGGCAGGCUUAACACAUGCAAGUCGAGGGGCAGCAUGUCCAGCAAUGGAUGAUGGCGACCGGCGGAAGGGUGCGUAACGCGUGAGCAACAUGCCCUAUACAGGGAGAUACACCAGGGAAACUUGGUCUAAUAUCCCAUAGCAUUCAUUGAAGGCAUCUUUAAUGAAUUAAAGCUUCGGUGGUAUAGGAUUGGCUCGCGUGACAUUAGCCAGAUGGUGAGGUAACGGCUCACCAUAGCAAUGAUGUCUAGGGGUUUUGAGAGGAAGGCCCCCCACACUGGGACUGAGACACGGCCCAGACUCCUACGGGAGGCAGCAGUGAGGAAUAUUGGACAAUGGAUGGAAAUCUGAUCCAGCCAUGCCGCGUGCAGGAAGACGGCCUUAUGGGUUGUAAACUGCUUUUAUACGGGAGCAAUAAGGGUUACGAGUAAUCCGAUGAGAGUACUGUAUGAAUAAGGAUCGGCUAACUCCGUGCCAGCAGCCGCGGUAAUACGGAGGAUCCGAGCGUUAUCCGGAAUUAUUGGGUUUAAAGGGUGCGUAGGCGGCCAUUUAAGUCAGCGGUGAAAUUUUGCAGCUUAACUGUAACAGUGCCGUUGAUACUGUUUGGCUAGGAUUUGGUUGUAGUGUGCGGAAUGUGUGGUGUAGCGGUGAAAUGCUUAGAUAUCACACAGAACACCGAUUGCGAAGGCAGCACACUAAGUCAUUAUUGACGCUGAGGCNCGAAAGUGUGGGGAUCAAACAGGAUUAGAUACCCUGGUAGUCCNCACUGUAAACGAUGAUAACUCGCUGCCGGCGU
rnacentral:rRNA from 1 species